ACGGCAAGGGAAGAAUGUGAAUUUUCAAAUUGCUGCUGAGCAGUAGCUGUGUGUUAUAUUAGCCCUUUCUGAAAUGUGAAUUUUUAAGUCUUUUUCCCCCUUCUUUUUCUCAAAAUCGAUCCCCCCUUUCUUUUUCCCAAACCAUUUCUCCCUACCCCGAUUCCCUUUAUUUUUCCCCCAAUUUCCCCCAAUCGUUUUAAGGUUUUUUCCCCUUCUUUUUCCCAAAAUGGGUCCCCCGUUCUUUUUCCCAAACCGUUUCUCCCUACCCCGAUUCCCUUUUUUUUCCCCAGUUUCCCCAAAUCGUUUUAAGUCUUUUUCCCCCUUCUUUUUCCCAAAAUCGGUCCCCCCUUUCUUUUUCCCAAACCAUUUCUCCCUACCCCGAUUCCCUUUAUUUUUCCCCCAAUCUCCCCAAAUCGGCAGCCCUCUGCAUCUCCGUUGGCAGCCCACUGCUGCAUCUCCGUCGGCAGCCCUCUGCUGCUUCUCCUUGUAAGCUGAUGAUCUCUCUCUCUUUCUCUCGUUUUAGUUCAUGUGCUGGUGCAUUUGAAGGGACAAAAAUGGUUUCCUGUAGCCUCUGUGAUUGUGUUGUUUAAUCCCAAUCUAUGAGCAUUGCUCUCAUGUGUUUAUGAAUCCCAAGAUAAAGUUUGAUGUUGUUGAUCUCCGGUGAGAUACGAUAUACUAAUGCACCGUGAUGAAGCAUUGCUGGUAUAUGAGAUAUUGGAUAAUGCUGUUCAUGAGGCUCAAGCAGGUUUUGCAACACAAAUAGAUGUUUUACAUUCAGAUGGUUCCGUGAGCAUAACUGAUAAUGGGCGUGGGCCAAUAGGAGCAAUUUCUGAGGGGAAGACUGAUGUUAUGAAAUAGAUAAGGUUUCCACAGAUGCAGCAGAAAUCUGCUAGUAAUACUGUUCAAAGACAAGCAAAAAGGCAGCACUACCUUGUUCCAUAAGAGAAAUUUUAGAAAAGGAAAAGAAGAACCGGUAUGUCAUUCAUUUGCCUUCUUAUGCUGGGCCAACAAGUUAUUCAAGCACUUAACUACAAUUCUGGUGAUUAUCAGACAGCUGGAGGUUACCCAAAUAGCAGUUACACUGAUCAGACUACCACAUGGAAUGGGAGCAAUUAUGCAAAUUAUACUACUCAGCAUUAUACUACCAGGUUUGAGUUUUUAUUGGAUGCAUGAUCUAGGAUUAGCUGAAUUCAUGCAUAGUGACGACUUGUUUGAGCUAAUUGCUGAUCUUAAAGUGUGCAUUCUAUCAUUAUUCUGUUCUUAAACUCCCUCGAGUCCUCCAAUGAGGAGAUAUUUGACUCAUAUUUUUCAGGGAGAGUUGUGAUGACCUUUUCAACAACUCUACUUUCACUAAAAUCAUCACCAAGUAGCCUAAUGUUGUUGACUGUGGCCAUUACCCUAUCAGAAUACUACUUGAUGGUCUCUAA